GGGGCGGUAGCUCAGUUGGUAGAGCACUUGCUUUGCAAGCAAGGGGUCGCCGGUUCGAAUCCGGUCCGCUCCA
rnacentral:tRNA from 1 species